rnacentral:lncRNA from 1 species
AUGAAAAAAGGACAAUUUUUUCAUGUUGUGGAAAAUGAAUUGCCCACAUUAGAUCAAAGUUCAUUACUUGACUUUUCUGUUAUUUCAACAGACGAGUUAAAAGAUGAAAUAGAUGAUAAAGAAGAAGAUGAAGAAGAUGAAAAAAAAAAUAAAAAAAAAAAUGAAAAAAAAAAAAAAGACAGAAAUGACAAUUUUGAAAAUUGUUAUAUUUCAGUUGAUAAUGUUAAUGAUAAUAAAAGAAACGCUUUAAAUUUUUUAGGUAUUCGUAAACAAAAAAACAAUGUUUCAAAUUAUAAGCAUGAGAGUAAGAAUAAUACAUCAUAUGAUGUAUUAAAAAUAUCACCUGUUGAAAAAAAAAAGUUAAUGUCACAUGACGCAUCUUAUACGAUUGCAAGUAAUACCUGUUCAGUGUUAUCACCAUAUAAAAACACGCUAAAAAUUAGCUCAGACAAUAAUGACAAUAAUAAAAAUAGUGAUGAAAGCACUAAAAGUGGUAUUAACAAUAAUUAUGUAGAAAAUCAAAAUGCUCAACAAAAAGGUUUUUUAACAAAAGAAAAAAAAAACAGGUUUUAUUGGUUGGAACAAAUUGUUUAUAAUAAUAUAAACAAUAGUUAUGAUAAAAAUGAAAUAAAAAUUUUUCAUAUUUAUCAUGAUAGUAGAGCUGAAUGUUUAUUUAAUGACAUAAGCAUAAUAAAAUUUUACUGGCAUAAAAAUAUAUGUAUAUAUGAAAAUAAAAAUUAUAUAUAUAAUGAAAUUAAUAAAAAAUUGUUUCAAAAAGAAGAAGAAAAAAAAAAAGACAUACCUUUCGAUUUAAGUAAUGAUAAUAUAUAUGAGUAUUUAUAUAAAGAAAAAAUGAAAAUAAAUAACAGCAAAAGUAAUAAUAAUAAUCAACAAGGCAGUAAUAAUAAAAAUCAACAAGGCAGUAAUAAUAAAAAUCAACAAGACAAUAAUAAUAAACAAGAUAGUAAUAAUAAACAAGAUAGUAAUUUAAAAAAUGGAAUAAAUAUUGAAAAUGAUAAUAAUAAUAAUAAUGAAAAAAUACAAUAUAUACAAUUUUAUAUUCAUAAAUACCCUUCUUUUUUAAAAGAAAAAAUAAAAAUAUUUAUACAUAUAUAUAAUAUGUUUAGUUUGUAUCCAUAUAUUAAUCACAAAUUUGUAGAAGAACAAAUUUAUUCAAAAAGUUUAAAAAUUACAUGUAUUUCUGAAAAAAUUUUACACAUAAAAUGGAAUUUUUUAAAUGAAACUGAAUUAAAAAUUAUAUUAAAUGAAAUAAUUAACAAACGUAAAAAAUAUAAUUUAAUUAAUAAUUUUGUAAAAAUUAACAAUUUUCUUUAUAUCAAUUUUUUAACACAAGAAAUAAAGGUAUACGAUAUACAUAGCCAUAAUAAUAGUAGUAGUAAUGGCAGUAGUAUUAGUAUUAGUGACAGUAGUAGUAGUAGUAGUAAUAAUUGUUAUAAUAAGGAAGGGAAUAAGAAGAAGAAUAAACAAUUAAUCGAUUCCAAUUAUAUUAUGUUAAAUGGUAAUGGACUUUGUUUUUCAGUACAUUAUCACAUACUUGUUCCUUAUCACAGACACAUAAGUGAAAAAUCAAAUGGUCAGAAUGAGAAUGACCAUUUAACUGCUGAUUAUAAUGGUGUCGAAUGUAAUAGUUCCGUUGUCAGUGACGAAAAAAAUUGUGACGGUUCAUUUAGUCAUAAUAUAAGUGAUCACAAUAUGAACGACUUAGAUGUGAACGACUUAGAUGUGAACGACUUAAAUGUGAACGACUUGAACAUAAACGACUUGAACAUAAACGACUUGAACAUAAACGACCCAAACAUAAAUGACCCCAACAUAAAUGAC